UAAAAACCCCGACUUCGGAAGGGGUGUAUUUAUUAGAUACAAAACCAAUGCCCUUCGGGGCUCUUUGGUGAUUCAUGAUAACUAUACGAAUCGCACGGCCUUGCGCCGGCGAUGGUUCAUUCAAAUUUCUUCCCUAUCAACUUUCGAUGUUUGGGUAUUGGCCAAACAUGGUUGCAACGGGUAACGGAGGGUUAGGGCUCGACCCCGGAGAAGGAGCCUGAGAAACGGCUACUACAUCCAAGGAAGGCAGCAGGCGCGCAAAUUACCCAAUCCCGACUCGGGGAGGUAGUGACAAUAAAUACUGAUACAGGGCCCUUUCGGGCCUUGUAAUUGGAAUGAGUACAAUUUAAAUCCCUUAACGAGGAACAAUUGGAGGGCAAGUCUGGUGCCAGCAGCCGCGGUAAUUCCAGCUCCAAUAGCGUAUAUUAAAGUUGUUGUGGUUAAAAAGCUCGUAGUUGAACCUUGGGCCUGGCUGGCCGGUCCGCCUCACCGCGUGCACUGGUCCGGCCGGGCCUUUCCCUCUGUGGAACCCCAUACCCUUCACUGGGCGUGGCGGGGAAAACAGGACAUUUACUU
rnacentral:rRNA from 1 species